rnacentral:misc_RNA from 1 species
AAGUCGUAACAAGGUUUCCGUAGGUGAACCUGCGGAAGGAUCAUUAUCAAUUACUUGUGACUGCUUCUUUUUUUGAGAAGCGGUUGUAUGUUUUUGUGCACUGUUUUCUUUUUGAUUAUUUUUUCUUUCUGAGAAAAAGUAGUCGAGAUGAAUUUGAUUUUCUAUUAUUAUUUUUCUUAUUUACUUUUUACAAGUAAUUAAUUAAAAAAAAGACAACUUUCAGCAAUGGAUCUCUUGGCUCUU